rnacentral:tRNA from 1 species
GCCCAGAUAGCUCAGUCGGUAGAGCAACGGACUGAAAAUCCGUGUGUCACUGGUUCGAUUCCGGUUCUGGGCA